ACGUAGGGUGCGAGCGUUAAUCGGAAUUACUGGGCGUAAAGCGUGCGCAGGCGGUUUUGUAAGACAGUGGUGAAAUCCCCCGGCUCAACCUGGGAACUGCCAUUGUGACUGCAAAGCUGGAGUGCGGAAGAGGGGGAUGGAAUUCCGCGUGUAGCAGUGAAAUGCGUAGAUAUACGGAAGAACACCGGUGGCGAAGGCGAUCCUCUGGGCUGUAACUGACGCUCAGGCUCGAAAGCGUGGGUAGCAAACAG
rnacentral:rRNA from 1 species